GUGCUGGCUUUGGCAGCACAUAUGCUAAAAUUGGAACAAUACAGAGGUUAGCGUGGCCCCCGUGCAAGGACUACAUGCAAAUUCGUGGAGUGUUCCAUAUUUUU